CGAGGACGAACGCUGGCGGCGUGCUUAACACAUGCAAGUCGAACGGUAAGGCCCUUCGGGGUACACGAGUGGCGAACGGGUGAGUAACACGUGGGUGAUCUGCCCUGCACUUUGGGAUAAGCCUGGGAAACUGGGUCUAAUACCGAAUAGGACCAUGGACUUCACGGUUUGUGGUGGAAAGCUUUUGCGGUGUGGGAUGGGCCCGCGGCCUAUCAGCUUGUUGGUGGGGUAAUGGCCUACCAAGGCGACGACGGGUAGCCGGCCUGAGAGGGUGACCGGCCACACUGGGACUGAGAUACGGCCCAGACUCCUACGGGAGGCAGCAGUGGGGAAUAUUGCACAAUGGGCGCAAGCCUGAUGCAGCGACGCCGCGUGAGGGAUGACGGCCUUCGGGUUGUAAACCUCUUUCAGCACAGACGAAGCGCAAGUGACGGUAUGUGCAGAAGAAGGACCGGCCAACUACGUG
rnacentral:rRNA from 1 species